rnacentral:rRNA from 1 species
GUCGAGCGGACCGACGGGAGCUUGCUCCCUUAGGUCAGCGGCGGACGGGUGAGUAACACGUGGGUAACCUGCCUGUAAGACUGGGAUAACUCCGGGAAACCGGGGCUAAUACCGGAUGCUUGAUUGAACCGCAUGGUUCAAUCAUAAAAGGUGGCUUUUAGCUACCACUUGCAGAUGGACCCGCGGCGCAUUAGCUAGUUGGUGAGGUAACGGCUCACCAAGGCGACGAUGCGUAGCCGACCUGAGAGGGUGAUCGGCCACACUGGGACUGAGACACGGCCCAGACUCCUACGGGAGGCAGCAGUAGGGAAUCUUCCGCAAUGGACGAAAGUCUGACGGAGCAACGCCGCGUGAGUGAUGAAGGUUUUCGGAUCGUAAAACUCUGUUGUUAGGGAAGAACAAGUACCGUUCGAAUAGGGCGGCACCUUGACGGUACCUAACCAGAAAGCCACGGCUAACUACGUGCCAGCAGCCGCGGUAAUACGUAGGUGGCAAGCGUUGUCCGGAAUUAUUGGGCGUAAAGCGCGCGCAGGCGGUUUCUUAAGUCUGAUGUGAAAGCCCCCGGCUCAACCGGGGAGGGUCAUUGGAAACUGGGGAACUUGAGUGCAGAAGAGGAGAGUGGAAUUCCACGUGUAGCGGUGAAAUGCGUAGAGAUGUGGAGGAACACCAGUGGCGAAGGCGACUCUCUGGUCUGUAACUGACGCUGAGGCGCGAAAGCGUGGGGAGCGAACAGGAUUAGAUACCCUGGUAGUCCACGCCGUAAACGAUGAGUGCUAAGUGUUAGAGGGUUUCCGCCCUUUAGUGCUGCAGCAAACGCAUUAAGCACUCCGCCUGGGGAGUACGGUCGCAAGACUGAAACUCAAAGGAAUUGACGGGGGCCCGCACAAGCGGUGGAGCAUGUGGUUUAAUUCGAAGCAACGCGAAGAACCUUACCAGGUCUUGACAUCCUCUGACAACCCUAGAGAUAGGGCUUCCCCUUCGGGGGCAGAGUGACAGGUGGUGCAUGGUUGUCGUCAGCUCGUGUCGUGAGAUGUUGGGUUAAGUCCCGCAACGAGCGCAACCCUUGAUCUUAGUUGCCAGCAUUCAGUUGGGCACUCUAAGGUGACUGCCGGUGACAAACCGGAGGAAGGUGGGGAUGACGUCAAAUCAUCAUGCCCCUUAUGACCUGGGCUACACACGUGCUACAAUGGGCAGAACAAAGGGCAGCGAAGCCGCGAGGCUAAGCCAAUCCCACAAAUCUGUUCUCAGUUCGGAUCGCAGUCUGCAACUCGACUGCGUGAAGCUGGAAUCGCUAGUAAUCGCG